rnacentral:lncRNA from 1 species
AUUCCGGGCGUCUCCAGAACCUUGCCCAGACCAUCUCAGAAUGCCUCCUGGCCCCGACUCAGCACAGUCACACUGGAACACCCAGGUGGGGCCUUGUGCUGGCGAAGACGGAAAGGCAAAUAUUGGGAGAGGAAAAAAGAACCCCUGGCCCUGUUGACAACACUUCCUACUUGUGCCUGAAGUGUGGCUGAUAUUUUCUGUCCUUACAGAUGCUUAUAAAAACUUCUGUUAAAGUCAACU